GGGGGAAGGACCAAGCCUGUCCCAUCGGCCAUCCUAUGUGUCAUGUCCUGGGACCCAGUGGAUGCUCAGCACCUGAAGAAGAUUGUCUUAGACACAUGGAAGCUGAGGACGCCUACUGUCCCCUCGGAACCCAGCUUCUGCAUCUCUGAAGACAGAUGAUGAGGACCCUUC